rnacentral:misc_RNA from 1 species
UGCAGGGAGUUGAAUGAGGAGAGCGAUGCAACUGAGAAGGUGUUGCGGGACGGCCUUGAUCGGCUUUCAACCAUGCGCCAAAGUCUAGCGUCGCUCACAAGGUCGCUAGCGAGCAGAUUCUGCCUUCUUCUUGACCAAAGGGAAGCGUGGGAGCAUUCCGUCAGUGAUCUUCCAGUAGCAAAAAGUGGGACCAUCGAUGCCCGCGCCAGUGCCGCGUUGAUCCAAAAUGCCUACGGCGCCCUAGUCGGAGCAGCGAGGAGUGAUGCGGAUUCGAUGACCCUUGCACGUGUUCAGAGCACGAAAGCGAGCUCUCACCUUCGUAUUCUGGAGCGAGGGAAAGAGGUCGUCGAGGCCCAAGUCGCGGUCUUGGAGGAGGAGCUGGGCAGUCAGACCAAGAAGGAGGAGAAAUUCCUACCCUACAUGCAAGAUAACACCUUUUAUUAGUCUCUUCUGAAGCUAGGGUCCGUUGCCUACUUCCUCCCUCUGAUUGCUCAUGUCUUCUCUGGUCAACCAUACAAGGGAAAUUUGACGCCACCGAGGGGAACUUCGUCAAGGUGCAAAGCCGCCUGGAGGAGCUAGAUAAGGAGAGGCAUCUCCUAUCGGAGGUGGUGAGCACCAUGUGUGUGCACUUCGGAGCACCUCCUUCGUCGGAGUCUGAAUCGCUCAUCUUGAGGGCCUCGCUAGCCUAGAGGAGCUUGAGAAGGAAUCCUUCUGCCAAGGGAUCUACCAGGUCUUCGCUGUCGUAACGUCUCACUACAAAGGGGGAUCGAGUUGGAGGACCUAAGCAAGCACUACUACGAUGCCUGGAGUGAUUCGAAUUUUGCUGGCAUGAUGAAGGCCGUGGAGCCUUUCGCUCGAAAGCUAGGAGCCGCCCUGCUUGGAAACACCCCACCUAGGGGGUUAAGGUGGAAGGGUACCAUUGUAAUGGCUGUGGAACAAAAAAGGGGGGGUUCCUUUCUUAUAGCAACUUAUCC